ACAGCCUAUAAAGGUAGAGAGGUUUAGUCAGUUAUUUUAGAUAAACAUGAGAUGGUUUUCUUUAUGUGUAGAGCUUUAGACUGUGUUCCUGACCACAGAACUGAAAGCAGCGCCAAGAUAUAUUAGAGCUGUAAUUUUAAAUUCCCAUAGCCUUUAAUGACAGUCCUGCUAUGCAAAAGGAAGUCCAGCAGUCAUUUAAGGCAGCAGUGUUACAUAACUGCCACGUGCACAGCUGUAACCUCACUAAGCUCUCUUUGUCAUAACAUAUUUUUGUUUAUUCCUUGCUGAACAUAAAAAAUAUUUUUAAGAACUGUUUACACUACAUUUCAAAUCUUUAAGAUUUGUUAAUGUUUUUGAAAGAAGUAUCUUGUGGUCACCAAAGCUGCAUUUAUUUGAUCAAAAAGACAGUAAAACCAGUAAUAUUGUGAAAUAAUAUUACAACUCUUUUCUAUUUUAAUAUAUUUGAAAAUUAAUUGUAUUUUUCUGAUGGUAAAGGUUCAUUUGCAGCAUCAUCACUCCAGUCUUCAGUGCCACGUGAGCCUUCAGAAAUCAUUCGAAUAUGCUGAUUUGGUACUCAAGAAACAUUUAUUAUUAUCAACAUUUGGUAAAUAUAAAGUUGAACAGCAUUUAUUUAGUAUAUAAAUGUUUUUUUAACAUUAUAAAUGUCUUUACUGUCACUUUUGAUCAAUUUGAUCAUGAAUUCUUGCCGAAUAAAAAUAUAUUUUCUUUCAAAACAAAACAAAAAGUAAACUUUUAAACAGUUGUGGAUAGUAUCAUAUAACUUUGCUUGGAAAACAAGUUGUGCAGCCACAUAUACAGAUUUCAUGGCUCCCAGAGUCAUCUUACGCCGGAUAACCGUUAUCCAAUCAGCACUGCCAGGAUGGCAGGAAGUUCUGACACUAGUGUGGGAACAGCAGACUUCAGAGAGAGUCUGUGCAGAUUUUCCCCACCCCUCUACCAGUGAAUGGCCCAAAAUGUUGCCUUCGGCCGUGCAAAGGCACCAUACACCGCACCCUCUCAAAGAAUGGCCUUUUAUUAUCCCUACAUGUCAGAGUCUGAAGGAGCAAUGGAAAACAUUAGGAACUGUGGUGUAUGCUAGAAACCUUUUGAAUCAUCACACAAACACGCUGUAACGGUAUCUGUUACUCACCUCUCAAGAGCUCCCAAAAACUUCUGCAGCCUCUCGGAUCUGUCAGCUUCCCCGACACCAAAUCCUUCAUGCAGACUUUAUAGACUGGAAUAGAAACUUCUGGAAGUUGGGAAAGGAGUAUAAUAAUGGUUCCCGUUUUUCUGUGAGACCUCCCCCAGAUCCAGUUACUGUGGGACCUGGACUCUCUCCUCGAGGUCCUAAAGGCAGCAGGAACUGACCCCUUUCCUGCUCACACACUCACACAAUGGCUAAACUGAAGUGCUUUUUCAUGCAAAGACAAUUGGACAUCGGAUUUAUGAAUGUGAAAUGUGGACAUCGGAUUUACUGAUUAAAAUCGAAUCAAAUUUAAAAACAUCCUACACUAGGAAUCCUGUUGUUCAAACAUGAAGCACUGGAAUGCAUGAAGAAUCCCAGAGGAACAUUUUAUUGCAUAGAAGUUUAAAGCACAGGAGACUUGGAAAAAUCUCAGGAAUGUUUCACAUAAGUGUCCUUCUCUCAGUGCUGCAAAUUAAAACAUGUCUUUAUGCAAUACAUGACUUGGUCACCAUUGGAUCCUCUGCAGUGAAUGGGUGCCAUCAGAAUGAGAGUUCAAACAGCUGAUAAAAACAUCACAAUGAUCUACACGACUCCAGCCCCUAAAUUAAUGUUUUGAGAAGUGAAAAACUACAUAUCUGAAAGAAACAAGUCCAUUAUUAAGAUGUUUUUAACUUCAAACCAUUGCUUCAG